ensembl:lncRNA
ACGCUGACCCGGACGCGGGCGCGUUGGUCCUGCGGGUCUCAGCGGGACCAGGACUCCAGCGGCGAGGUGUCCCCCUACGACAACAGCUCCCCGGUGCCGUCGGACCACCCGGCGCGCCGCGGGGGGGCCGGGGACGGUGCGACUCCGCCCCCGGACGCCGACCGCCGCUGCCUCACCCCCAGCGCCCCCGGGGUCAGCAGGUGGGCUCCGCCCCCGGCAAGAGAAGGUUCCCAUGGCGACGUGUCUGACUGCGGGUCCGGCAGCUCUUCGGAGGGCCUCCACCGUUGCCCGGGUGACGGGCCGUGGGCGUCGGUGCGGCGGACACAGAGCGCGGUGGACGUGGCGGCCCACAGGCCACACCCCUCUGGCGGGCCGCAGCAGCGGCGAGCGCCUCGGGCGGAGGCCGGCCGUGACGCCGGCGCAUCACAGACUGCUCGGCCAAUCGGGAGCCUCGAGCUCAGAGGACGUGGCGGCGGCGGCGGCGACGGACACGCCCGCCGGCCGCCGGCUGACAUCGCCCCUCAAGGACGCGCUUUGGCGCUCGGGGUCACUCAGACACAGCCCUGUCUCUAGCUCCGCCCCCUCGCUGUCGACCGGCGUCGGGGCCCCUGAGGGCCGAGCCGAGCGCUGGAGCGUGAAGCAGCUCUUCUGUGUGGCCAGCACUGCUGUGGACAACCUGCCAGAGAGCCUGGUGUGACCCCGCCGCCACCCCGGGGCACUGGGAGCCACUGGGGGGACUGGGACCCACUGGGAGCCACUGGGGCAACAGGGGACCCACUGGGAGCCACUGGGGCGACAGGGGACCCACUGGGACCCACUGGAAGCCACUGGGGCGACAGGGGACCCACUGGGACCCACUGGGACCCACUGGGACCCACUGGGACCCACUGGGACCCACUGGGACCCACUGGGGGCCACUGGGGGCCACUGGGGCGACAGGGGACCCACUGGGGCGACAGGGGACUCACUCUGACCCACUGGCACCCAUUUGGGGGACGGCGGACUCAGUGGGACCCACUUGGACCCACUUGCGACAGGCCUCACUGGGACCCACUGGGGGACAGCGGCCUCACUGGGACCCACUGGGGGGACGGCGGCCUCACUGGGACCCACUGGGGGGACUGGGAGGACAGGGUACUCACUGGGGGGAGGGGGCACUGGACUGCGAUGCUACUGAUUGUGUCUACGCGAGUAGAAGUCCACGUUUCUGAACGGUUUGCUGUAUUCUUGUGUCACACUUUACUCUCUAGGAAAGGUUGUAUUGUAUAAGGAAUGUAGCAUUGUGACUUUGAGCUGUUUGUGUAUCGUUUCCAAAGACAUCAUAACGUUUGUCUGAUAUUGUUCUAUACGUCGUAUUUUUUUAUUAAAAAAUAUAGUUUACAGUUCCGAUUUAUGGGGGCAUCGGUCAUUUGUUGUUUCCGUGUUUAUGCCUUGGUUGGACAGGUGUCAUAACCUGAGCAGUUUCCAACCGUGCUAACAUCUUGAUAAUUGAACAUCGCUGGCGUGCGUCUGUGAUACUCUCAUUUACCCUCAAGGGCGCAGCGCAUUUAAACAGACGCAGAUGCAACACGUGUCUGAAGGGAAGUCUUUCUUGUCGAUCGUGAGUGUGUGAACCUCAGUUGCCAUAUUUUAC